CUGAAAUGGUUGAUCUAUUAUGUUUUUACAAAUUUAGUUGGUAUUGCUAUACCUAUAUUAGUUGGUAUUUUGAAUAGCUGAAUGUUUAUUUUGUCUUUGGCUAUUGCAAAUUUUGCUUGUUCAGAAAUGAGAAGAUCAGUCCAUGUGCAGUAAGCUUUCGGAUCAAAGCGAAGCUGAGAAUAAGGUGUUAGUUGAUGGCAAAUUGAUAACCAGUAGAGGCACAUCCAUGGAGUUCUCAAUUGCGAUUGUUGAGAAGCUAUUUGGCUGCGAGAAGGCAUUGGAUCUUGCUGUCAAUGAGAAGUUUAAAUAGACAUAAUUAUUGUGUUGGUAUUGUACUUUUGUGAAUGGAUUAAAAUGAAUGAUUGUAUUUGAUUGAUUGAAUGAAUGAUUGUGUUUGAUUGAAUGAAUGAAUGAUUGUGUUUGAUUGAAUGAAUGAAUGAUUUAGCCAUGAAGUAUUUAUGUAUAUUAGCUUAUAUGAGUU